AUUGAACGCUGGCGGUAGGCCUAACACAUGCAAGUCGAACGCGAAAGUCCUUCGGGAUGAGUAGAGUGGCGGACGGGUGAGUAACGCGUAGGAAUCUAUCCUGGAGGGGGGGAUAACGUUUCGAAAGGAACGCUAAUACCGCAUACGCCCCAAGGGGGAAAGCGGGGGAUCUUCGGACCUCGUGCUAUAGGAUGAGCCUGGGUCGGAUUAGCUAGUUGGUGAGGUAAAGGCUCACCAAGGCGACGAUCCGUAGCUGGUCUGAGAGGAUGAUCAGCCACACCGGAACUGAGACACGGUCCGGACUCCUACGGGAGGCAGCAGUGGGGAAUAUUGCACAAUGGGCGAAAGCCUGACGCAGCCAUACCGCGUGUGUGAAGAAGGCCUUCGGGUUGUAAAGCACUUUCAGUGGGGAGGAAAAGCUGGUGGCUAAUAUCCAUCGGCCGUGACGCUACCCACAGAAGAAGCACCGGCUAAUUCCGUGCCAGCCGCCGCCGUAAUAC
rnacentral:rRNA from 1 species